GAAGCACUGAGGGGAGCCGAAGCUCCCCUCAAAGCGUUGUUGCCUGCUCUUUUUUUAUUAUUGGGACCGGCCUAUUGUUGUUUUUGUCGGCUUGUCCUGGUGUUGCGGGCGACCCCCAUGCGGGGUCAAGAGCAAACGUAUUUUUUUGAGCGCUGACCUGCUUUCAUCAUUGCUGAUCCGAACCUGGCUGCCGCUACCUUGAGGUAGUU
rnacentral:misc_RNA from 1 species